AUACAGAGGUUGCGAGCGUUAAUCGGAAUUACUGGGCGUAAAGCGCGCGUAGGCGGCUUAUUAAGUCAGAUGUGAAAUCCCCGGGCUCAACCUGGGAACUGCAUCUGAUACUGGUAAGCUAGAGUUUUGGAGAGGGAAGUAGAAUUUCAGGUGUAGCGGUGAAAUGCAUAGAGAGCUGAAGGAAUACCAGUGGCGAAGGCGACUUCCUGGCCAAAAACUGACGCUGAGGUGCGAAAGCGUGGGUAGCAAACGGGAUUAGAAACCCUAGUAGUCC
rnacentral:rRNA from 1 species